rnacentral:tRNA from 1 species
AAAAGACAAAAUGGCUGAAAAAAAGCUGGGAACUGUAAAUUCUUGAAUAAACAUUUGUUUUUU